rnacentral:lncRNA from 1 species
AGACAUCAUCAUCAACUACAAUAAACUACUGUUGCUGCACCUGUUUCUUUCUUUAUCCACACAAAAAACAGAAAAAAAAAAAAAACAAAAAGAAAAAAUACCCCUGCCUAACCAGUUACUCUAAAUAUAGCCACAGCUAUAAAAUGCAAACAGUGAAGAGAGAAAGCACCCAAAAAAAAAGUGUUAGUACGGCGGGGGACUGGAUUUAACAGCUACCAUUUGGCAACAAACAUUGUUUUUGGGUAGGGCAAUAUUACAAGGGGAGGCAUUUGGUCGUGCACACUACUAACGCUGCUGGGUCCAUACAUUUCUUUGCUACCUUGGGUGCCGGUGGCACCACCAUCACCACCACCACCACCACCCUCCCACCAUAUUUGUACUGCCUGUCAACUCACUCCAAAAGAAGUCCAUAUUGGCAUCUUUCACCAUUUUUUUUACUCGCCCGGGGCUAUGUGCG